rnacentral:rRNA from 1 species
AUUGAACGCUGGCGGCAUGCCUUACACAUGCAAGUCGAACGGCAGCACGGGAGCUUGCUCCUGGUGGCGAGUGGCGAACGGGUGAGUAAUACAUCGGAACGUACCCUGAAGUGGGGGAUAACGUAGCGAAAGUUACGCUAAUGCCGCAUAUUCUGUGGGCAGGAAAGAGGGGGAGUCGCAAGACCUCUUGCUUUAGGAGCGGCCGAUGUCGGAUUAGCUAGUUGGUGAGGUAAAGGCUCACCAAGGCGACGAUCCGUAGCGGGUCUGAGAGGAUGAUCCGCCACACUGGGACUGAGACACGGCCCAGACUCCGUACGGGGAGGCAGCAGGUGGGGUAAUUUUGGACAAUGGGCGCAAGCCUGAUCCAGCCAUGCCGCGUGAGUGAAGAAGGCCUUCGGUUGGUAAAG